ACGCACGCUGGCGGCGUGCUUAACACAUGCAAGUCGCACGGAAAGGCCCUGCUUGCAGGGUGCUCGAGUGGCGAACGGGUGAGUAACACGUGGGUGAUCUGCCCCUUACUUUGGGAUAAGCCUGGGAAACUGGGUCUAAUACUGGAUAGGACCAUGCUGUAGGUGGUGUGGUGGAAAGAUUAGUUUCGGUAAGGGAUGAGCUCGCGGCCUAUCAGCUUGUUGGUGGGGUAAUGGCCUACCAAGGCGUCGACGGGUAGCCGGCCUGAGAGGGUGGACGGCCACAUUGGGACUGAGAUACGGCCCAGACUCCUACGGGAGGCAGCAGUGGGGAAUAUUGCACAAUGGGCGCAAGCCUGAUGCAGCGACGCCGCGUGGGGGAUGACGGCCUUCGGGUUGUAAACUCCUUUCAGCCAUGACGAAGCCCUUGUGGUGACGGUAGUGGUAGAAGAAGCACCGGCUAACUACGUG
rnacentral:rRNA from 1 species